UACGUAGGUGGCAAGCGUUGUCCGGAUUUAUUGGGUUUAAAGGGUGCGUAGGCGGCCGCUUAAGUCAGUUGUGAAAUAUCCCGGCUCAACCGGGAGGGUGCGAUUGAUACUGGGCGGCUCGAGUAACAGCGAGGUUGGCGGAAUUGACGGUGUAGCGGUGAAAUGCAUAGAUAUCGUCAAGAACACCGAUAGCGAAGGCAGCCAACUAGGGGUUAACUGACGCUGAGGCACGAAAGUGCGGGGAUCAAACAGG
rnacentral:rRNA from 2 species